GGCUAUGGCAUAUCUCGUGUGUGACACCAUGAGUUUGAAUCCUAUGACUCUUAUUUAACGACUGAUUGUUGUCAAGAUAAUGAAGAACAACACUAAGGUAAGAUGUUCUUUGGUGUUGGGAUGUCCAGAUGCCCGAUGUUACAGCAAAUGAAAAACUAGUAGUCUACCUUAUAGUUGAACAAAUAGUUUUACUCAUUCAUCAUUCAUCAUGUCACACAUCCAACGCUCCAAAGAGUUACAUCCAAGGGCUCCGUACCUUCCUCUAGAUCCACCCGCACCUGCUCCAAAUCGCGCCUCUCUUGUGCACCUCCCUUCCAUCCGCCGCCCAGAUCACGCCUCCCACCCGCGCCGACUCCGCCCUCUUUCUCUCCCUCGACGCCCACCGAUCCUGGCUCGCCGGCGGCGGGGUGCGGGCGGCCCCGGCGCGCUCGGCGAAGGAGCCUCGCCUGGCGGCGUCCGCGUCACUCUCGGGGCCUUCCGCACGCGGCCGGCGCCUCUCGGGGAUGGUCUCUGGCCUCGACCUUGGCCUCCUCAACACGUCGCGCGCCGGCCCACUCCGCUGCCCGAUUGCCGGCGCCGUCGAGACAGGCACGCGCGUGUUCGCGGAACUCGACGACCUCGACACCGCCGCCUUCGAGUCGCCGUCCGCCGAGGAGGAGGAGGCGACCAAGUGCCCGCAGUCGGUCAUGCACUCCGCCGACGAGUUCCAUGGGAGGGGCCGCAUGGUGGAGUUGUCGUGCGGGCUGACGCUGGGGGUGACCCUAAGAUCGCGGUGCUGAGCAAGGGGGAGCAACCGAUCAUGGUGUCGCAGUUCAUGAUGGAGCUUCGGGGGCUAAAGACCGUCGACGGCGAGGACCCGCCGCACAUCCUCCACUUCAACCCACGCCUCCGCGGUGACUGGAGCAGCAGGCCGGUGAUUGAGCAGAACACCUGCUACCGAAUGCAGUGGGGCGCCCCGCUCCGCUGUGAGGGCUGGAAGUCCCACUCUGAUGAGGAGACCGGUUGGGGACCCCUGCAAUUCCAGUUUGAUUAUGUUAGUUCAGAUAGACGUUCCAAGGAAUCAACGACAACCUGGCUGAACCGGCUGAUCGGACAGAAGGAGAUGAAUUUUGAUUGGCCUUAUCCUUUUGUGGAGGGCCGAUUGUUUGUUCUUACUAUCAGCGCUGGGUUGGAGGGGUACCAUGUGAACGUCGACGGGCGACAUGUGACUUCUUUUCCAUACCGUCCUGGGUUUGUUCUUGAGGAUGCCACAGGUUUAUCAUUGAGUGGGGACCUUGAUGUGCAAUCAGUGUUUGCAGGGUCCUUACCCACUACACACCCAAGCUUUACCACAGAGUUACCUGGAUAUGUCAACUGUUUGGCAGUCCUCUCCUCUGCCUAAUGAACCUGUUGACAUUUUCAUUGGCAUCUUGUCAUCUGGCAAUCAUUUUGCUGAGCGCAUGGGUGUGAGGAAGACAUGGAUGUCUGCUGUCCGAAACUCACCAAAUGUGGUAGCUCGUUUCUUUGUUGCACUGCAUGGCCGAAAAGAAGUGAAUGUGGAGUUGAAAAAGGAAGCAGAAUUUUUUGGGGACAUUGUUUUGUGCCGUUCCUGGACAACUAUGAUUCAGUUGUUUUGAAGACUCUUGCAAUAUGUGAAUAUGGGGUUCAUGUUGUCUCUGCUAGGUAUGUAAUGAAGUGCGAUGAUGAUACUUUUGUCAGACUUGAUUCAAUAAUAACUGAAGUCAACAAGGUACAAAGUGGCAGAGGCCUCUACAUAGGAAAUAUCAACUUCCAUCACAGGUCGCUACGUCAUGGGAAAUGGGCUGUAACUUAUGAGGAGUGGCCGGAGGAGGUCUAUCCACCCUAUGCAAAUGGUCCUGGAUAUGUUAUAUCUUCUGAUAUUGCUGGUGCCAUUGUGUCAGAAUUCAGAGACCGAAAACUGAGGGUUCUAUCUUAUAGUUUUCUGUAAAAAAAAUUUCCAUUACUCUGCACAUUAACUGUCCUUUUAUUAGUACAUAUGCAGUAUGGGCCUGCCCUCCUGUUUUCCCCUAAAAAGGAGAAUACCUUAAUUAUCACUUUGAACAGUUGGUUUAGAAAGCAUAAAAAAUAUAUAUAGGAUGAAAGAGACAAUAGAUUAACUUCACCAAAUGAACUAUAUAUGAUUCUUCUUCCAUGACAAUUUAGUAAUGACCAAUAAGAACCUUCCCUUAUUUGGUACUCCCUCUGUUUCAGAUUAUAAGACAUAGGACAGGAAGAAACUCAAGAAAGAGUAAAUGUAUUGUGUUUUAAUAAUUAAAGACUUAAUUUGAACUAAUUGUGCUACAUUUUGAUAAUUUAAGAUGUAACCGUACUUUUGUGCUUGAGUUUUUUUGUUUUGACUUGCUGUAGGUCUGGGUCUGCCACUGAUUGGGACGAGAGCGACGGGAGGCGGGCAGCCUUCGUGCAGGUCAGAAGCAGUGUAGUAGCGCCUCGGCGGCAGUUCAAUGCCUGCUGGGACUGGCAUCUUCCCGAUGCCGAUGACAGUGGGUGCGUCCCUGCUCCUGAUCCGUCGCUGAUCCUUGGGAAGUAGGAUUGGUGAACUAUCAGCAUACCAUUCUUUUGAAUCAACAUAUUCCUAUUUCUAAAGGCGAGAAAAGGAAAAGGUAGGCAUAUUGCACUUGUAAUUACAUGUGAAUGACUCUGUAUGUGCUACUCUUAUUUUUGAGAGAACCCUUCUGAUAGCUCAAGUGAAGCUGAUCAUGCUAUGAGUUUUACAUAUCAGUAAGUUUUGUGUGUAAAUCAAUAUGCUGUGAGGAAGAAGUAUAAUUUAUUGGUCAGCAUUAUUUUCAUUUA